AAUGGGCGCAAGCCUGAUCCAGCCAUGCCGCGUGAGUGAUGAAGGCCCUAGGGUUGUAAAGCUCUUUCACCGGUGAAGAUAAUGACGGUAACCGGAGAAGAAGCCCCGGCUAACUUCGUGCCAGCAGCCGCGGUAAUACGAAGGGGGCUAGCGUUGUUCGGAAUUACUGGGCGUAAAGCGCACGUAGGCGGGUAUUUAAGUCAGGGGUGAAAUCCCGGAGCUCAACUCCGGAACUGCCUUUGAUACUGGGUACCUAGAGUAUGGAAGAGGUAAGUGGAAUUCCGAGUGUAGAGGUGAAAUUCGUAGAUAUUCGGAGGAACACCAGUGGCGAAGGCGGCUUACUGGUCCAUUACUGACGCUGAGGUGCGAAAGCGUGGGGAGCAAA
rnacentral:rRNA from 1 species